rnacentral:rRNA from 1 species
UACGUAGGCAGCGAGCGUUGUUCGGAAUUACUGGGCGUAAAGAGUGUGUAGGUGGUGUCGUAAGUUUGGUGUGAAAUCUCCCGGCUUAACUGGGGAGGUGCGCCGAAGACUGCGAUGCUGGAGUAUGGGAGAGGAAAGCGGAAUUCCUGGUGUAGCGGUGAAAUGCGUAGAUAUCAGGAGGAACACCUGCGGUGUAGACGGCUUUCUGGACCAUUACUGACACUGAGACACGAAAGCGUGGGUAGCAAACAGG